rnacentral:tRNA from 1 species
GGGGUUGUGGCUCAUUGGUAGAGUGCUUGCCUCACAUGCAUGAGGUCCUGGGUUCGGUCCCCAGCACCACA